AGCAGCCGCGGUAAUUCCAGCUCCAAUAGCGUAUAUUAAAGUUGUUGCAGUUAAAAAGCUCGUAGUUGAAUUUCGGGAUCAAGGAAUCGGUCAUGCCUUGGUAUGUACUGGUUUUAUUGGUUCUCACCUUCUAAAGAACCAUAAUGUCAUUUAUUUGAUGUUAUGGGGAAUUAGGACUGUUACCUUGAAAAAAUUAGAGUGUUUAAAGCAAGCUUACGCUUGAAUACAUUAGCAUGGAAUAAUGAAAUAGGACAUCAGAUUCUAUUUUGUUGGUUUCUAGGAUCGAUGUAAUGAUUAAUAGGGAUAGUUGGGGGCGAUUAGUAUUCAAUUGUCAGAAGUGAAAUUCUUGGAUUUAUUGAAGACUAACUACUGCGAAAGCAUUUGUCCAAGGAUGUUUUCUAUUAAUCAAGAACGAAAGUUAAGGGGAGUCGAAGACGAUCAGAUACCGUCGUAGUCUUAACCAUAAACUAUGCCGACUAGGGAUCGGAUGAUGUUUAUUUUUUAGUUGUACUCAUUCGGU
rnacentral:rRNA from 1 species